GGAAAGUUGCAAAGCACUUUGAAGAGAGAGUUAAAGAGGACGUGAAACCGAUGGGAUGGAAACGGACAGAGCUGGCGUAUCUGGUCUGCAUUCAUCCGUGUGUUCUUGGACGUUUGGAUUGCCACUCUCCAGACUGGGAUGGUGUUCAUUCUGUUCAGGGGCUCAUGGAGCAUUUGCAGGCGGAGUGCGCUGAGAUGCUCGGAGCAGCUGCAUGAGCUUGGCUUUGAGGCCAGCCCUUCGGGGUCUGGUACCCGGGCUGUGGGAGUGCUGUUUGUUCUGGGUGCUGAGUGUGUGCAAUGGCAACGGGUCCGUGUUGGUUUGAGCUGGCGGUCGGUGGCGGUCGCGUGCGACACGUGCCAGCAGUCAGUUCGGUCCUGCUCGGGCUCUCAUUGCAUGUUCUCGGUGUAAAAGCCGGUCAUCUGUCCGACCCGUCUUGAAACACGGACCAAGGAGUUUAGCGUGUGCGCGAGUCAUUGGGAGUUGAAAACCCAAGGGCGUAAUGAAAGUGAAGGUCUCCUUGCGGAGCUGAUGUGUGAUCUCGUGCACUCCGGUGUGCGGGCGCAACAUAGUCCCGUCCCGAUCGCAUGCGAUGGGGCGGAGACAGAGCGUACGCGCUGAGACCCGAAAGAUGGUGAACUAUUCCUGAGCAGGAUGAAGCCAGAGGAAACUCUGGUGGAAGUCCGAAGCGAUUCUGACGUGCAAAUCGAUCGUCUGA
rnacentral:rRNA from 2 species